ensembl:lncRNA
CCCAGUAUACUAAUUAACCUGCCCAGUAUACUUAUACACUAGACCAGCGGGUUCAUAUACUGCUCUAGUCUGAAUACACCGAAUGCUCUACGUGAACAAGCAUAUCUCUGUCUGCUUUAGUCCAUAAGCGUUUGCUGUGAAAAGGUCACACUCCACUGAGUUCCCUGAUUAAACAUUCAUGAGGUGUUUAAGACCUUUAUUCAUCAACAAAGAAAGCAACUUACAUGAUCCUAUUCUGCUCCAGAGCCAGAGUCUGUGAAAACAAACCAACCGUCAACCAACAACUGUGUUAAGAACCAAAAUAAGAACCAUUCGAGUUAAGAACCAACAAAAGGAGUUAAGAACCAACAAUACGAGUUAAGAACCAACAAUACGAGAUAAGAACCAACAAUACGAGUUAAGAACCAACAAUACGAGUUAAGAACCAACAAUACGAGAUAAGAACCAACAAUACGAGUUAAGAACCAACAAUGCGAGAUAAGAACCAACAAAAGGAGUUAAGAACCUAUAAUAUGAGUUAAGAACCAAUAUAAGAACCAACAAUACGAGUUAAGAACCAACAAUACGAGAUAAGAACCAACAAUACGAGUUAAGAACCAACAAUACGAGAUAAGGACCAACAAUACGAGUUAAGAACCAACAAUACGAGAUAAGAACCAACAAAAGGAGUUAAGAACCUAUAAUAUGAGUUAAGAACCAAUAUAAGAACCAACAAUACGAGUUAAGAACCAACAACACAAGUUAAGAACCAAUAUAAGAACCAAUAAUACGAGUUAAGAACCAACAAUACGAGUUAAGAACCAACAAUACGAGAUAAGAACCAACAAUACGAGUUAAGAACCAAUAAUACUAGUUAAGAACCAACAAUAUGAGUUAAGAACCAAUAAUACUAGUUAAGAACCAACAAUAUGAGUUAAGAACCAAUAAUACUAGUUAAGAACCAACAAUAUGAGUUAAGAACCAAUAAUAUGUGUUAAGAACCAACAAUUCAAGUUAAGAACCAAUAAUACGAUUCAAAGCCAACAAAGUCUCAUUGAGCGUUGUUUCGAUCCCCGUGCGAGUUGCAUGCGAGGGGAAAGAGGAAAUAGAUCUAUUGUUGAUCCGUAACGACGAGCACAAGGCCAGCGGCGCCUGACACCGAUCAAUGGACCAGAGCACCAGCAGUCAGCGGCCGCCUGAUUAAAGCUAUCUGACCGCUGGUCAAUAGGGACACGCCACAAGGGAGCGUCAUGGAAAGCACCACUCAAACCUACUUUGUUCUCCGGCGGAGUGGAGCUCCUGGAGCUGCUCCUCUCCACCUCACGGCCGGAGGGGGUGGCAGGAGAAGGUCUCCCGGGAGGCUCCUGGGUCUCCACGUGGGGGGCAGGGUGGAGGAGUGGGCCGUGGGGGGGGUAGGGGGGCUCGGGGUGGAGGUGUUGGGGUCCGCUGGGGAGGAAGUUUGGAGGUGGUGGGGCUGAGGGUGGGGUUGGUGAAGAUGGGGUUGGUGAAGUUGGGGUUGGUGAAGGUGGGGUUGGUGGUGCUCUGGAGGAUGGUGAGCGAUGUCUUCAAACACAGAAUCUGUGUCCUUCGAUUGGGUUUCAUGGAGAUGCUUUUGGCUGGGGUGGUUGUCAUGGUGAUGGGGAAGAGUUGGGCUGUGCUUGUCACCAUGGUGAUGGUGCUCUUGACUGUGGUGGUCUUCAUGGGGAUUAGUGGGACUGUGGUGGUCGCCAUGACGAUGGCAGUGAUUUUGGCUUUGUUUAUCACCAUGGUGAUGAUGAUGACGACUUGGAGUGUUGGAACGGUCUUCAUGCUGGUGGUGAUGAUGGGGACCAGGGUUGGUCUGAUGGUCUCCAUGGUGAUGAUCUCCAUGGUGAUGGUCUCCAUGGUGAUGGUUUCCAUGGUGAUGAUCUCCAUGGUGAUGAUCCGCAAGGUGAUGGUCUCCAUGGUGAUGGUUUCCAUGGUGAUGAUCUCCAUGGUGAUGAUCCACAAGGUGAUGGUCUCCAUGGUGAUGGUCUCCAUGUCGAUGAUCUCCAUGGCGAUGGUCUCCAUGGUGAUGGUCUCCAUGGUGAUGGUCUCCAUGGGGAUGAUCUCCAUGGUGAUGGUCUCCAUGGUGAUGGUCUCCAUGGUGAUGAUCUCCAUGCUGAUGAUCCACAAGGUGAUGAUCUCCAUGGUGAUGAUGAUGAGUUGGGCUGUUUUUGUCACCAUGGAGAUGAUGAUGGUGAUGGGGACGUUGACCUCUGGGAUGGUCUCCAUGGUGAUGGUGCUGAGGGUGUUUAUUGUUGUCAUCUCCAUGAUGGUGGUCUGGCCUCUGGUUACCAUGGUGAUGUGGUUCACUAGCUUGGUCCUUGUCUUGCUGGUCACUGUGGUGGGGGUGACGACUUGAGGUGACCUUGUGUUGUGAGGGGCUGCGGCUCUCUCCAUGACGAUGGUCUCCAUGGGGACCACCACAACCCUCAGCAUCAGCGUCACCAUAGCAACCAUCGUCAUGGAGUUUUGGGAGGCUGCGGCUCUCUCCCUGACGAUGGUCUCCAUGGCGCCGCUGAUGCUGGGGGUCGUGGUUGUCACCGUGGGGAUGCUGGUGACGUGUGUCGCCGCCCCCCUCGUCCUCUCGGUGGCGCCCGCCUCUCUCCAGGGAGGAACACGAGUGGUGCAGUUUGGUGGACCUCGAGCCUCGCCUCUCACUGCGGCCGGGGGGGCAGGGCUGGGCGUGGUGGAGCGGCUCUCCGGUACGGCGACCACGGCGAUGGGGCCGUCCAGGCCUGGAGCGCCGGGAGCGCCUGCUGGAGCGGGAGCGUCGGCCAGCCUGCGAGCGCGCGCUGCGGGCCGAGGCCCCGGAGUGGACCGAGCCGGCGCUGGCCCGGCGGCCCUCGGCCCGGCCGGACCUCCCGGGGCCCGGGCCCGGGCCGGGGGGGGCCCCGGCGUCCGUCACCCCCAGGGAGGUCAGCCUCAGGGGGCUCAGCACCUGCCGCGUGAUCUCGUUCAGGAAGGCCGAGAACUUGACCUUCUCCUUCACGGCGCUCUUGCGGGCGUCCCGCUGGGGGGGGUCCUCGGGGGGGUCCCCGUCCUCCUCCCCGUCCCCGUGCUCCCGGCCGCAGAACGCCUCCAGGGACCGGGACUUCCAGAGGUUCCCGGCGCGUCCCGGGGGCCCGACGCCCGCCCCCCUCUUCUUCUUCUUGUUCUUCCCGCCCCCCCGUGGCAGGCUGUGGUGGGAGGGGGGCCCCACCGGCCCCCUCCUCCCCC